rnacentral:lncRNA from 1 species
AAAAGUAAUUGAGCAAUGAUGAUACAUAAUAUUAAAAAGCCUAGCCUUUAUGGCCUUCGCCAUGUGAAAUGCUGCUCCCUUAAUUUAAUCCGUCUCCCCUUGCUGGAACUCAGCUCAGUUUGUUAAAUAUCUUUCUUUCUCCAAAGUUGUGGCAUAAAAGAACUGGAUGCUUUGUGAUUUAAAAAAAAUAAUUGAGCAAUGAUGAUACAUAAUAUUAAAAAGCCUAGCCUUUAUGGCCUUCGCCAGC